UUUGGGAAGUUAGUUUUAUGAAAUAAAAUUUGUUGGAAAUUUAUACGCCCGUAAAGCAUAAGUCGGGUCAGACCCGAUAGUUCUUUCAGGCUCCAACAUAAAAAACCGCGUGGGCGAUUGGGGAUUCAAAAUUUUCCCUUUCCCGGCAAAAAGGAAUUGCGGUUGAAGACCAUCACCAGAGCUUCCAUGGAAGAAGAAGACCCGAAUCCAAACGUGAAUUUGAUGCAGUGGACUAUAAAUUCAUUACCAUCCUAGCUGUGAUUGGCAUGCUUGGAGGACUAUUCUACUGAUCAGUUGCAGAUGACGAUUGAAUGUGAGACAUAGAGCUGCAUUAACAGUGGAAAAUGACAGGACUCUAAUAUAAGUCGGGCAAAUGCGUUCAUCUAACCAAAUUUCAGAGCAACCCGGCAGGCUAAUAUAUUUGUCUAUAUUAGGCUGUUAGCUGUUUCACUUUCUAUGUUAUGGUUUUAUUUCAAUGCAUUUUUGUCAACUCCAAUCUGAGGGAAUAACAAAUCAACUUUCAAACUAAAGAAUUCUUCUUUUUUUUUCUAGAAAAAUAAAAAUAAAAAUUUGGUGCGAAUCAAACUUUCAACAAGAAGUUGAAAGUUGAGUUAAUCAACCAACUGAGCUACUAAGAUUCCUCAACUAAAGAAGUGACAAGACUCAAAUACUUCUUUUUUUGUUUUUGUUUUGUGACAAUGGUGGUAUUGUUAGGAAUUUGCACGCAUGUCAAUUAUUUCAUCGGAAUACAAUACGAGCAACUCUGUCCCCAAGGCUUUCAUUGAGGCACAGGUACCUCAGCUCAUACACCGCACAAGUAGGAGCCAGGUCAUACAGCUAUUGUUGGUGAGCUCCAGUUUGCUUCGGAGCUUUCUGAGUCGGUUCCUUAUGUUUUGUUAUUGUACAUGAGUCAUGUGUGGGCGGGGGUUUAUCCCGACCCUAGUUAUGUCAUGUAUAUCCUAGAGGCUUUGUAGACAUAAGGAAGGGUAAAGUCAUGGAAGUUUAUAUAGUAACGUUAUAUUUGUAUAUGUGGUGGCCCCGACGGCCAAGUAUUAUAUAUAUAUAUUUGUGCGUGUUGUGCUGA